UACAGCUACCAGUUUAACCUACUGCUACAUUUAUAUUAAAGAAAUUUCAUUUACAAAUGGCAUCCAACGUGGGGCACUAUAUGUAAAAGUUCUUCCCCCCCCCCCAGCCCCAUGCUCCCAGAAAUAAGACUCAGACUCAAAAUAUAUUUACAAACACUUUGACCAUAUAGCUAGGCUCUCUUCUGACUAGAAUCCUAACUAAGGAUAACCCAUUUACUUUAACCUUUAGCCUACAUUCUGCCACAUGGCUGGUCACCCGUGCUCAGGCCCCAUGUGUCCGUCCCCUUAUAUCUUCCUGUGCCUUGCUCUAUUGCAGGAUUCUUUCUGCCUCCUGAUGCCUCACCUCCUAUUUACUGCCUAAGCCAUAGGCUAUAGGCCAUAGGCUUUUUUUAAAAAAAAAGUUUUAUUUAUUAUUAUACAUAAGUACACUGUAGCAGUCUUCAGACACGCCAGAAGAGGGCAUCAGAUCUCAUUAUGGGUGGUUGUAAGCCACCAUGUGGUUGCUGGGAUUUGAACUCAGGACCUUCAAAAGAGCAGUUAGUGUUCCUAUCCACUGAGCCAUCUCACCAGCCCAGCCAUAGGAUUUUUAAUUAACAGAUGAUGCAUCCAUACAAUACACAAGUUAUUCUCUCUAUAUUUUGCUAUUGUUAUGAUUUGUAAUGCAGAUAUCUAUUUUCUGACAGCCUUAAGUGACCCCUGUGAAAAGGUUGUUUGACCUCCAAAGGGGUGAAAGCCCACAGGUUGAGAAACAUUGUUCUAUAUAAUAUGUGGUCACAUGUCUCCUUGAUGAAUGGGGUCCAUUGCCUUAGUACAGGACUGAUGAGAGACUAGGGGAUAUAUUCUAAUCCCCACACACUUGGGAUAUAGAAUUAUAAGCAGGCUGUGAAAAUGGUUUUUUGGCCUUCCUCUGAGCUUUCUGCCAGAGAGAACUUGCAGUGUUAGGGAUCGCAACAGUAAAAAGAUAGGCACAUGCAAGAGCCUUUGUUUGAGACAGGGUUUCUCUAUGUAGACAAGGCUGGCCUCAAACUCACAGCGAUCCACCUGCCUCUGUCUGCCAAUUGCUGGGAUCAAAGGUGUUCGGCACCACACCCUACUGCAAAUAGCCUUUGAUUCAGCAGAAGUGGAAAGUGGAAGAAUGAGAUGGGGUUUUGCCAUGUCUUGCAGGAUGCUUGGGAAGCACGGGGUACAGAGAAGGAAGAGAACAGCACAGCAUGUGACCCUGACCUGCUGGAUCGAGGAACACCCACCCGCUCCAUUUCUAAAGACCUAUUCUUUAUGUGUAUGAGUGUUUGCCUACAUGGCAUGUAGGUGUGCCCCUAGUGCCCCCAUAGAGCUCAAAAGAGCCACUAGAAAGCCUGGACUGGAGGUAUAAAUGGUUGUGAGCCACCAUGUUGGUGUUGAGAAUCAAAUCCCUGUCCUCUGCAAAAGUUACACGGCCCCUUAACCACUGAGCAUCUCACCUAGUCCCGAGGAAGACUUUUAAAUGAGGUGUGAAAGAGCUUCUUCCAGCUGGGCUCAGGUACCAGUCUGAGUGCAGGGAAAUCAGAGAAACUAAGCAAUACAAGUCUUCACCUCUCCAUGAGACAAAGGCUGCACAGUGCGAGGGGACUCUGUCCCCGGUGGAUCACUGAGCCAUUGGGUACACUUAGCACUGACUAAGGUCCCCAUGAAUAAUAGCAGGGAUUGGAGGACAUCGGGGAACAGAUGGACUGAGGAAAUUAAACAUGAGGACAGCAUUUGAUUUCCAGUUCACCAGACCUGACUGAUGCAUCAGGGACCUUGGAUUCGGAGCUUCAGGAGUCUUACUGAACCCCAUGGGGGGUGGGGGGGUUGAACUGUAGAAGAAAGGAGAUGUUCUGAAAGGCCUAUGUGAUUUGGGCAGCCAUGUAAAUGAGAUUUGUAAAAUAUUAAAUCAAAGUGAGUUGAAAGGACAAAGCAGCUUUGCUGUCUGGGUGCUCAAAGGCAGCUGUGGCAUGGCUUACAGGGACUCAAACGCUGUGCUAAUGACCUUCUGGAUUCAACAGGAGAAGAAGUAAAUGACAAAAUAGCACAGGUAAAAAACAUUAAGCUUGACUUAGGAAUAGUUACCUCAUGAGUAUGCAGUAUGCAUUUAUCCUCUGCAUGAAGUAUAGUCGGGGAGAGAUUGUUCCUUUAAGCAGCCAGGUGUGGCUGAGUGCAGUACAGCAAGGGCCAUGAUGCUAGCUGGGAGCCUGUCAAAACCUAAGGCACUGGCUCUAGAGACAAACAUGACAAACAAGAGUAUGGCCCUGAGCUGGGUUGAGCAGCACUGGCUGGCCCAACUGCCAUCAGGAAUGGACAGAUGUGUAACAGUAAAUUGUAUUUGCCUGAAGUAAUUGUCUUGGAGGCUUACUGCCUCUGUCUGCUAGCCUAGACAAAGGCUUCCAGCCUCUGUUCAAUCUUACCUAGACCUAGAAUGUUUUCAGCCUCUGAGAGUUGCUGCUGAAUAAACUCAGCCCUUCCUAGUUCUUUCUGAGCUCUGGCUGGCUGGUUCAACUCAGCUGUUCUGGCUCCAAUUCCUUUCCCAGCUGACUGAUUCAAUCUGGUUUCUCCCUCUGCCUCUGAGUUUUUGUUUUGCUUGGACUCCAGGCAAUCUGCUCUAAUCUUCUGGCUCCUUCUCAUUCUCUGGCCUAUUCUGUCUUCACCUGUGUCUACCUUGCUCUUUCUCUCUGCAAUCUGUCUCUGAACAACUGUCCUGGUAAACCUGCCCUCCUCGUUAUUUCUCCCUGUUCUUGUCAGAGUUGGGCAUUAGCCUAUUCUGUCAAAUCUUUCUCUGAUUCAUCACUUUGUCUGCCCCUCAAUUAGACGCCACUUUCAAAUGUGAGUGCUUCCUUUUACAAACUAACUUUACCUUCACUGUUUGAGAUUAAAGGGUGUGUACUCAGCCCCACAACUAGAAACAGGUUUUUCCAGUAAACACAAUCUUGAGGUUCACAGUGUGGUUAAAUAUCCUGCAAUGUUUCCACAUUUUCUAAAUAAAAAGGAAAGAUUUUUAUCUC
rnacentral:lncRNA from 1 species